GGAAAGGUAAAACGUAACAAGGUUUCCGUAGGUGAACCUGCGGAAGGAUCAUUAUUGAACUGUGUUUUCGAAGAAAACACUUACUCGAUGGGUUGUCGCUGGCUCCUUUGGAGCAUGUGCACGCCUGUCUUGACUUCAUUCAUCCACCUGUGCACCACUUGUAGUCUUUGGGGGGUUUGUGAGAGAGAGAGUGGCUGACUUGUCGGG
rnacentral:rRNA from 1 species